UACGUAGGGGUGCGAGCGUUUGUCCGGAAUUACUGGGCGUAAGGAGCUCGUAGGUGGUUUGUCGCGUUGUCCGUGAAAACUCACAACUCAAUUGUGGGCGUGCGGGCGAUACGGGCAGACUGGAGUACUGCAGGGGAGACUGGAAUUCCUGGUGUAGCGGUGGAAUGCGCAGAUAUCAGGAGGAACACCGGUGGCGAAGGCGGGUCUCUGGGCAGUAACUGACGCUGAGGAGCGAAAGCGUGGGGAGCGAACAGG
rnacentral:rRNA from 1 species